CAUAUCACUAAGCGGAGAAAAAGAAAAUAACAAUGAUUCCUAGAGUAACGGCGAGUGAAAUAGGAAAAGCCCAUAGCCGAAUUCUGCUGUCCUCGAUGGCAGCUAGAAGUUGUGGCGUUGGGAACUGCCUUUUUGUAACCGAUCGGUCGGGCUACGCGACUCCUCUUGAUUGUGGUUUGCCCAUAGCAGGUGAAAGGCCUAUUGUUCGUAGCCUCGUUUUGAAGGCCGGCGGUGAUGGCAGUCCUUAGAGUCGGUUUGUUUGGGAUUGCAGACCGAAGUAGGUGGUAAACUCCACCUAAGGCUAAAUACGAUCGCGAGUCCGAUAGCGCACAAGUACCGUGAGGGACAGUUGAAAAGAACUUUGAAGAGAGAGUUCAAAGUACGUGAAACCGUUCAGAGGUAAACGGGUAGAAAGUCGAAUUAAAGGUUGACAAUCAAGCCGUUGGCUUAGUCUAAGUUGGGCUAAUGGCACGUUAAUGGCUAUUAGUCUGCUUGUAAGGCUAGCUACGGUUGUAUUUGUUGAUUUUGGAUCGCCGCAACGGCAGUGUCUGACCGGCUGGCGUUUAUUCCUCUGGUUAAUGUAGAUCCGUAUGGAUCUUUUAACAUUGGCACACGGAUAAACGCCCCGCGUACACAGCACAGUCGAUAUUCAUUAAAAGCAGUUUAAGUGUUCCAACUGGUUAUCGUUCGUUUUGUAUUGGCAGUCUGAUCUUAAACAAGUUCAACUGUUGAUAUCAGGGCGGCGUUAGCUAGCUUAACGACGGAGCAAAGACUGCAUUGGCGGCGUUAGACUACGAAUUAUCUACCUGACCCGUCUUGAAACACGGACCAAGGAGUCUAGCAUAUGCGCAAGCCAUUGGGAUUAUUCAUUGAAACCCAAAGGCGAAGUGAAAGCAAAAAUGGUGAGAUCUGUCGUUAAUUUGUUAAAAAUAACGGCAGCGCAUCAUCGUCACGCCUCGUUUCGGCUUCGGCUGAUGAGGCGCAGACUGAGCGCAUAGGUUGGGACCCGAAAGAUGGUGAACUAUGCGAGGCGAGGUCGAAGCCAGAGGAAACUCUGGUGGAGGACUGUAGCGGUUCUAACGUGCAAAUUGAUCGUCGCAGCUUCGUAUAGGGGCGAAAGACUAAUCGAACCAUCUAGUAGCUGGUUCCCUCCGAAGUUUCCCUCAGGAUAGCUGGCACUUUCGGAGAGCAGUUUUGUCCGGUAAAGCGAAUGACUAGAGGCCUUGGGGACAUAACGACCUCAACCUAUUCUCAAACUUUGAAUGGGCAAGAAGAGAGACUCACUUAAUUGGAGUCUUUAUUAUUAUUGCGAAUGCUUGAGUGCCAAGUGGGCCAUUUUUGGUAAGCAGAACUGGCGCUGUGGGAUGAACCAAACGUUUAGCUAAGGCGCCAAAUGCUAACGCUCAUCCGAACCCAUUAAAGGUGUUGGUUGAUAGAGACAGCAGGACGGUGGCCAUGGAAGUCGGAACCCGCCAAGGAGUGUGUAACAACUCACCUGCCGAAUCAACCAGUCCUGAAAAUGGAUGGCGCUGAAGCGUUGUGAGCCUAUGCUAAACCGGCAUUGCAAAUUUUA
rnacentral:rRNA from 1 species